rnacentral:rRNA from 1 species
AACGAACGCUGGCGGCGUGUUUAAGACAUGCAAGUCGCACGGGAUAAGACAUGUAGUAAUACUUGUUUUAUUUAGUGGCGCACGGGUGAGUAACACGUGAAUUACAUGCCCUAUAGUGGGGAAUAGCCCAGGGAAACUUGGAUUAAUACCCCAUGGUAUCGAAAGAUUAAAGGUGGCCGCAAGGCUGUCGCUAUAGGAUUGGUUCGCGCCCUAUCAGCUUGUUGGUGAGGUAACGGCUCACCAAGGCAAUGACGGGUACCUGGUCUGAGAGGACGAUCAGGCACACUGGAACUGAGAAACGGUCCAGACACCUACGGGUGGUAGCAGUCGAGAAUAAUUCACAAUGGGGGCAACCCUGAUGGUGCAACGCCGCGUGGAGGAUGACGGUCUUCGGAUUGUAAACUCCUGUCAUCUGGGAGAAAGACCUGACGGUAAAUAGCCGGCAGGGUUGAUAGUACCAGAAGAGGAAGGGACGGCUAACUUCGUGCCAGCAGCCGCAGUAA